rnacentral:rRNA from 1 species
GACGGGGCCGCGACAAGCGGUGGAGCAGUGUGGUUUAAUUCGAAGACAACGCGAAGAACCUUACCAGGUCUUGACAUCCCGAUGCUAUUUCUAGAGAUAGAAAGUUACUUCGGUACAUCGGUGACAGGUGGUGCAUGGUUGUCGUCAGCUCGUGUCGUGAGAUGUUGGGUUAAGUCCCGCAACGAGCGCAACCCCUAUUGUUAGUUGCCAUCAUUCAGUUGGGCACUCUAGCGAGACUGCCGGUAAUAAACCGGAGGAAGGUGGGGAUGACGUCAAAUCAUCAUGCCCCUUAUGACCUGGGCUACACACGUGCUACAAUGGUUGGUACAACGAGUUGCGAGUCGGUGACGGCGAGCUAAUCUCUUAAAGCCAAUCUCAGUUCGGAUUGUAGGCUGCAACUCGCCUACAUGAAGUCGGAAUCGCUAGUAAUCGCGGAUCAGCACGCCGCGGUGAAUACGUUCCCGGGCCUU